rnacentral:rRNA from 1 species
CCUUUCGGGGNGGAUUAGUGGCGAACGGGUGAGUAACACGUGGGCAAUCUGCCCUUCACUCUGGGACAAGCCCUGGAAACGGGGUCUAAUACCGGAUAAUACUUCUGCCUGNAUGGGCGGGGGUUGAAAGCUCCGGCGGUGAAGGAUGAGCCCGCGGCCUAUCAGCUUGUUGGUGGGGUGAUGGCCUACCAAGGCGACGACGGGUAGCCGGCCUGAGAGGGCGACCGGCCACACUGGGACUGAGACACGGCCCAGACUCCUACGGGAGGCAGCAGUGGGGAAUAUUGCACAAUGGGCGAAAGCCUGAUGCAGCGACGCCGCGUGAGGGAUGACGGCCUUCGGGUUGUAAACCUCUUUCAGCAGGGAAGAAGCGAAAGUGACGGUACCUGCAGAAGAAGCGCCGGCUAACUACGUGCCAGCAGCCGCGGUAAUACGUAGGGCGCAAGCGUUGUCCGGAAUUAUUGGGCGUAAAGAGCUCGUAGGCGGCUUGUCGCGUCGGAUGUGAAAGCCCGGGGCUUAACCCCGGGUCUGCAUUCGAUACGGGCAGGCUAGAGUGUGGUAGGGGAGAUCGGAAUUCCUGGUGUAGCGGUGAAAUGCGCAGAUAUCAGGAGGAACACCGGUGGCGAAGGCGGAUCUCUGGGCC